GACGAACGCUGGCGGCGCGCCUAACACAUGCAAGUCGAACGAGCAAAGAGGAGCUUGCUUCUCUGAGCGAGUGGCGAACGGGUGAGUAACGCGUGAGGAACCUGCCUCAAAGAGGGGGACAACAGUUGGAAACGACUGCUAAUACCGCAUAAGCCCACGGGUCGGCAUCGACCAGAGGGAAAAGGAGCGAUCCGCUUUGAGAUGGCCUCGCGCCCGAUUAGCUAGUUGGUGAGGUAACGGCCCACCAAGGCGACGAUCGGUAGCCGGACUGAGAGGUUGAACGGCCACAUUGGGACUGAGACACGGCCCAGACUCCUACGGGAGGCAGCAGUGGGGAAUAUUGCACAAUGGGGGGAAACCCUGAUGCAGCGACGCCGCGUGGAGGAAGAAGGUUUUCGGAUUGUAAACUCCUGUCGUUAGGGACGAUAAUGACGGUACCUAACAAGAAAGCACCGGCUAACUACGUG
rnacentral:rRNA from 1 species